rnacentral:rRNA from 1 species
CCUACGGGGGGCAGCAGUGAGGAAUAUUGGUCAAUGGACGAGAGUCUGAACCAGCCAAGUAGCGUGAAGGAUGACUGCCCUAUGGGUUGUAAACUUCUUUUAUAUGGGAAUAAAAUGUUCCACGUGUGGGAUUUUGUAUGUACCAUAUGAAUAAGGAUCGGCUAACUCCGUGCCAGCAGCCGCGGUAAUACGGAGGAUCCGAGCGUUAUCCGGAUUUAUUGGGUUUAAAGGGAGCGUAGGUGGAUUGUUAAGUCAGUUGUGAAAGUCUGCGGCUCAACCGUAAAAUUGCAGUUGAAACUGGCAGUCGUGAGUACAGUAGAGGUGGGCGGAAUUCGUGGUGUAGCGGUGAAAUGCUUAGAUAUCACGAAGAACUCCGAUGGCGAAGGCAGCUCACUGGACUGCAACUGACACUGAGGCUCGAAAGUGUGGGUAUCAAACAGGAUUAGAUACCCUUGUAGUC